UGGGCAACCUGCCCUCAGCACUGGGAUAACUCCGGGAAACCGGGGCUAAUACCGGAUACUCCGGUCGAACCGCAUGGCUCGAUCGGGAAAGCUCCGACGGUCUGGGAUGGGCCCGCGGCCUAUCAGCUUGUUGGUGGGGUAACGGCCUACCAAGGCGACGACGGGUAGCCGGCCUGAGAGGGUGACCGGCCACACUGGGACUGAGACACGGCCCAGACUCCUACGGGAG
rnacentral:rRNA from 1 species